rnacentral:rRNA from 1 species
GUUGACCUCGAAUUAGGUAGGAAUACCCGCUGAACUUAAGCAUAUCAAUAAGCGGAGGAAAAGAAAGCAACAGCGAUUGCCUCAGUAGCGGCGAGCGAAGCGGCAACAGCCCAGAUUUGAAAUCUGGCCUUCGGGUCCGAAUUGUAAUCUGCAGAGGAUGCUUUAGGCAAGGCACCGGCCAAGUUCCCUGGAAUGGGACGCCUUAGAGGGUGAGAGCCCCGUAGUGCUGGCUGCCACGCCAUUGUAUAGCUCCCUCGAAGAGUCGCGUAGUUUGGGAAUGCUGCGCAAAUAGGGAGGUAUAUCUCUCCUAAGGCUAAAUACCUGCCAGAGACCGAUAGCGCACAAGUAGAGUGAUCGAAAGAUGAAAAGAACUUUGAAAAGAGGGUUAAAUAGUAUGUGAAAUUGCUAAAAGGGAAGCGCUUAUGGCUAGACUUGGUGGUGGUGGAGCAAUCUGCUGCUACUGGGCCGGCACCAGUUUACGUUGGGGGGUAAAGGCGGCGGGAACGUGGCUCCUCCGGGAGUGUUAUAGCCCGCCGUGUAAUACCCUGGUGUAGACUGAGGCUCUCGCUUCGGCAAGGGUGCCGGCAUAAUGGCCAUCAGCGGCCCGUCUUGAAACACGGACCAAGGAGUCGUCUUCGUAUGCGAGUGUUUGGGUGUCAAACCCAAGCGCGUAAUGAAAGUGAACGUUGGUGAGAGCUGCGGCGCAUCAUCGACCGAUCCUGAAGUUUACAGAUGGAUUUGAGUAAGAGCAUACGGGGCCGGACCCGAAAGAAGGUGAACUAUGCGUGUGUAGGGUGAAGCCAGAGGAAACUCUGGUGGAGGCUCGCAGCGGUUCUGACGUGCAAAUCGAUCGUCAAACAUGCGCAUGGGGGCGAAAGACUAAUCGAACCUUCUAGUAGCUG